rnacentral:rRNA from 1 species
UACGAAGGGGGCUAGCGUUGCUCGGAAUGACUGGGCGUAAAGGGCGCGUAGGCGGAUGGCACAGUCAGAUGUGAAAUCCCCGGGCUUAACCUGGGAAUGGCAUUUGGGACUGCAAGGCUUGAGUGCGGCAGAGGGAUGCAGAAUUCCAGGUGUAGCGGUGAAAUGCGCAGAUAUCAGGAGGAACACCGGUGGCGAAGGCGGUUCUCUGGGAAUUACCUGACGCUGAGGAGCGAAAGUGUGGGGAGCGAACAGG